rfam:Erinaceus europaeus unplaced genomic scaffold scaffold00014, whole genome shotgun sequence
CUGCAGCCAAUUUAGCCGACCUGCUGCCCUCCCCAUGGCGCCGGUGUGCAGUGGCUGCCAACAGCCACUGGGUAGUGUGUUCAACCUGUUGCUUGUAGAGGCUGCCCUAACGGACCCUGGACACAGCC